GCAGCACAAGACUAGCUGAUGAAGCAAAAUAAUCCUUGCAAUAAUCGUGAUUGUGGAAGAGAUUAUGAUGACAAAGAAGUCUGGAAUAAACAAGAAACCUCAGAACCACCUUAACUGUGUCUGCUACAAUGUGUGUUCUUGCAACCAGCUGAUUGAUUCAUUUUAUCAACUCUUAAAUGGUUGAUUAUCAGAACUGAAUUCAGAGCUGCUCCUGUCUGUAGUAUCAUUAUUAGAGUGGACUUCAGAAUGAGGGCGUUGCUUGUUUAAAAACUUCACUCCAUGAAGCUCUCCAAAUUCACCUCAAAUUAGACUGCUUCUGGAAACCAGAUUUGUUCCUUCAAGCAGAAACGCUUGUGGCUUUCCUGACUGGACUUCUAUGGAUUCUUCAUGCCAACCUUAAGGACUGUGGUCUUCUGCAUGAUACACGUCAAUUUCAAACAAGACAUUCUGUGGUGAAACACUUGAUGUACUGUUAGAUGAUAUGAAAUUUUAUUUCAUAUAACUGAAUCUCAGAAGUAACUCCUUGGGAGCAAGAAACAUUGAAAAAUAAAAAAUAAAAGGUCCAUCAAUAAUGAA